rnacentral:rRNA from 1 species
UGCACCGGAUCCCAUCAGAACUCCGCAGUUAAGCGUGCUUGGGCGAGAGUAGUACUAGGAUGGGUGACCUCCUGGGUAGUCCUCGUGUUGCACCCC